rnacentral:misc_RNA from 1 species
GAUGAAGAACGUAGCGAAAUGCGAUAAGUAAUGCGAAUUGCAGAAUUCCAGUGAGUCAUCGAAUCUUUGAACGCACAUUGCGCCCUUUGGUAUUCCGAAGGGCAUGCCUGUUCGAGCGUCAUUAUCACCCCUCAAGCCCUCGGCUUGGUAUUGGACGGUUUGGUGGAGGCCCCCUCGGGGGUUCCUGCCCCUCCCAAAGACAAUGACGGCGGCCUCGUUGGACCCCCGGUACACUGAGUUCUUCACGGGACACGUAUCGGACACAUGGGUUUACGGGACACGGUCUGCCUCCCCUCAGGGAGAAUCUUUCUAAGGUUGACCUCGGAUCAGGUAGGGAUACCCGCUGAACUUAAGCAUAUCAAUAAGCGGAGGA